rnacentral:piRNA from 1 species
UGAAGAUCCCAGAAGGCUCUGCCUAAUUCC